rnacentral:rRNA from 1 species
GAAUUUGUAGUGUAGCGGUGAAAUGCAUAGAUAUUACAAGGAACUCCGAUUGCGAAGGCAGCUUACUAAAUUACAACUGACGCUUAGGCACGAAGGCGUGGGUAUCAAACAGGAUUAGAUACCCUGGUAGUCCACGCAGUAAACGAUGAUUACUCGCUGUUUGCGAUACACAGUAAGCGGCUUAGCGAAAGCGUUAAGUAAUCCACCUGGGGAGUACGUUCGCAAGAAUGAAACUCAAAGGUAUUGACGGGGGCCCGCACAAGCGGAGGAACAUGUGGUUUAAUUCGAUGAUACGCGAGGAACCUUACCCGGGCUUGAAAUGCAUUUGACCGGCUCAGAGACGAGCCUUCCCUUCGGGGCAAAUGUGUAGGUGCUGCAUGGUUGUCGUCAGCUCGUGCCGUGAGGUGUCGGCUUAAGUGCCAUAACGAGCGCAACCCUCAUCAUUAGUUACUAACAGGUUAAGCUGAGGACUCUAGUGAGACUGCCAUCGUAAGAUGCGAGGAAGGUGGGGAUGACGUCAAAUCAGCACGGCCCUUAUGUCCGGGGCGACACACGUGUUACAAUGGAUGGUACAACAGGCAGCUACUAGGCGACUAGAUGCUAAUCCCAAAAACCAUUCUCAGUUCGGAUCGAAGUCUGCAACUCGACUUCGUGAAGCUGGAUUCGCUAGUAAUCGCGCAUCAGCCACGGCGCGGUGAAUACGUUCCCGGGCCUUGUACACACCGCCCGUCAAGCCAUGGAAGCUGGGGGUACCUGAAGCACGUAACCGCAAGGAGCGUUCUAGGGUAAAACUGGUAACUGGGGCUAAGUCGUAANCAAGGUAACCCGAAAGGGCGAAUUCGUAACUCG